rnacentral:rRNA from 1 species
AGAUGGCGACCGGCGCACGGGUGAGUAACACGUAUCCAACCUGCCUCAUACUCGGGGAUAGCCUUUCGAAAGAAAGAUUAAUAUCCGAUAGCAUAUAUUUCCCGCAUGGGUUUUAUAUUAAAGAAAUUCGGUAUGAGAUGGGGAUGCGUUCCAUUAGUUUGUUGGGGGGUAACGGCCCACCAAGACUACGAUGGAUAGGGGUUCUGAGAGGAAGGUCCCCCACAUUGGAACUGAGACACGGUCCAA